UUGAACUCAGGACCUCGUGCUUGCCUGGCAGGUGCUUGUGCUGCUGCUGAGCUAGCUCUCCAGCCCAAAGCAGUUAAUGUUCUUGUCUAGUGGGAGGAACUGGCUUUGAAUUUUUGCCCUCCACUCAGUAGUGUCUCCUAAUGAACCGGUUAUGACGCUGGGAGGAGCAGGAGGUGGCUUUCCCUGGCGCACCUGGCUCGCCCGGCUCCCUGGGCCUUUGCUCGGCUGCCGGGAGCAGCUCCCAUCCUCGCCCGCCGGUGCUCGGCCCCACACUCGGUGGGACGGGAGGAGUGGGGACAGCGGGCCUCCGCGAGGAUGCAGCCGUUGGGUUUCCCUGCUUUGUUCCUGAAAUUUCCUGAGGGGCGCACAAUUUGUUCAUUUCCUUUUGAGCCUGGGAGUCCAGAGCUGAGCCUCGAGACUGCUGGGAGGCUGUGCCACUGUGAUGCUGUGCAGUCCAGGCGUUGAACUCAAGACGCUGCCACCACCGCCACCACAACCUCCCAGGUGCUGAGACUCCAGGGGUGUGCCACCAGGCCUGCCUUCUCUCUUGUUGACAGACUUAGACUUUUAGGUUCCUGAGUGAGGAGGGCUGAAGGCAGCGACACAGCCCUGGCCAUAGCCCCGCUCCGGUGCCCUGCUGCCGUCUCCCCGCCGCAGAGGUUGGACGUGGCUGGGGACCACAGCCCAGGCCCUGUGUAUCCUCAGCACACUCUACACCAGAGAACCAUGAACCACACCCCAGCCACCCCCACCCCAGCUGGACCUGAGGCCUCACAGCCAGCACUGAGGAAGGCGGCGUCCUCGGCACGAGCUUCCUGGUGCAGGUCCAGCUGGUUCCUGGUAGCUGGGCGUGGUGGCGCGAGCUUAUAAUCUCAGCAUUCAGGGAGGCUGAGGCAGAAGGGUCAUAAGCUCAAGG